rnacentral:lncRNA from 1 species
UGAAUUCAACCAACAAGAUAAUGCAAAACAUCACAAAUUAUGCCUCUUUAAAUUACAUAAACAUGUGAAUAUAUAUGCAACAAUAAAAAUACCCAAAACAAUUCAAUACAUAAAACUAGAAUUAAUAUCCACAAACAAUUCUCAAAAUACCAAAUCCAUCAAUCCCUAAGGAAGAAUUGCUCUAUGGAUAUGGAGUAAUUCAUUAUAAUUAAUUUUAAAGUAGAAAAAAACAUAAAAUAAUCCAAAUCCUUAUCUUGAGUUGGGAUUGAAUGAUGGAAUCCUUGUGCUCUUCCUUUUCCAACUUCUUCUUAGCCUCCUUAGGUCUUAGAUGUGUCAAAAGUCCUCAAAAUACCAUUUUUCUAUGUAUAUAUACCAAAAAAUCAUCUUUAGGACUGAAAUAGGUGCUAAACAAGUAGUUCAAGUGGGACGUUAAUGUCAUAUACAAAGUCAGUAAAAUAAUAGGAUUUUGGACUUACAUGUACAAGUCGGGAUCGCUUACUAACAAACGAUUUUUCAUCAUGACCAUGUGUAUGGACGUGCAAGUGUAGCUCACUUGGUGUUGGAUCUCGACCCUUUUCAAUAGCCUAUACAAAAAACAAAGAACUUAUCCUUUGAUAAGGUGAAACAGUUUACUAAUGGAGGUACUAAGAAGGUAUACACCAGUACACAUUUAUUGAAUGUCACGUAGGUUCUUGGUUUACCAUUUGAUAAGUGUAGCUGCAAAAUCCAGUUUAGUUCUGUGCUUCCUAUUUUAUAUUUGGACUUUUUGAUUGAACUCAGCUUAUGUUAUGUGUAGGAAUCAACUAUUGGUGCAGCAUUUUUCUCGCAAACAGUAGCAGUAAAUGAUGCUACUGUAAAAUUUAAAAUAUGCGACACAUCAGGCCAAGAGAGAUACCACAGUCUUGCUCCAAUGUAUUAAAGAGGAGCUGGAGCUGCUAUAAUUGUUUAUGAUAUCACAAAUCAAGUAACUUUCUCACCUGAUUCCAACUAUUCACUAUAAUUACUCGAUAUUGCUCUGAAAAUUUUUGCUAGCAUGUGAACUUGUUAACUUAGUUUCUCAAUUCUUUAUUUAUAGGCAUCAUUUGAUAGAGCAAAAAGGUGGGUUCAGGAGCUUCAGGUGAAAAAGUGGCUUCAGGUGAAAAAGUAAGUUACUGCUCCUCCGUUCCACUCAACCUAUUAAAAAGCUGAAAUAUGUGUACUGAAUUCUAGUGAUUACCCCUUACGAAGAAAUACUUACAAGUCUCUUGCGAUGUUCCCCAAUGGUGACAGAGUCACCCGUGUGAGUCCUAAUGGUGAUGGCAGUCCCACCGCCACAACGAUAUUUUGUAUUUAUUUCUGAUUUUUUGACACACUUAGGAUCCUUCCAUAGUUCCAUCCAAUUGUCCCACACAUCUUUUGGAACAAAAUCUGGUUGAACUAUAUCCUUAUCUUUUCUUUUUUUUUGCAUAUAAAAUCACAGUACCUUCUCGCUGCCUUACUUCCCCAUAGGCGCUUCACUUCUCUGUCAAUCAAAGCAGUCUCAAAAGCAGGACAAAACAGCGUGAAAGUUCAGCAACAAUGUAGAGUUUUGUAGCACUUCACCUUGAAGAAAUUGGAAACCACGCAGAUCUCAAAACACCUAAAUUUGAUUUUAAUAACCAAAUAUCACCAAAAUUGGUAUUAAUCAAGAGUUCAACACAAAAGAAACCCCCAAAUCAGAUUUUACCAACAAUAAAUAGUAAUAACAAUACAUAUUUAUGCACAAAUGAGAUAUACCCAAAAUAUGUCAACCUCUACUUCAUAUUUAACUUCACAUACUACAAAGAAAAAGGGGGAAGAGACGAAAGCUUGAUUUAUUUUACAUCUACCAAAGCCCUAAAAAUUUUAAUGUAGAAAAAUUGCUAAUAAACAGAUAAAGAAGCAGAGACAUACCAGUAUUUUAGAAAAGAGUUGAUGUAGUAACGCAUCUGGAAAAAUUAAUGGAAGAUUAGAGGAGAAGAAGAAGAAGCAAAUGGGGUGGUUUCUUAGUGUAUUCUUGUGUGAGAAAGAAAGACCUUAUUUUUUAGAAAGGGGCUGGUUUUUCACUAAAGCAGAACACUUAUUUUGACGCAACUCUUUUUCCCUGAAUACCUAGCGACAAAAACUUUCCGUAGCAACAAGGGUAAAGAUACUCUCAUUAAUGAAAAAUAUUAGCGACAUACACACUUCGUC